GGUGGGGCAUGGCCGGACUGUUGGGCGUCCUUGGGUGGUCUCAUAACCCAGAGGUCACAAGUUCAAAUCUUGUCCCCGCUA
rnacentral:tRNA from 1 species